UACGUAGGGUGCAAGCGUUGUCCGGAAUUAUUGGGCGUAAAGAGCUCGUAGGCGGUCUGUCGCGUCUGCUGUGAAAACUCAGGGCUUAACCCUGAGCUUGCAGUGGGGUACGGGCAGAUUAGAGUGCGGUAGGGGAGACUGGAAUUCCUGGUGUAGCGGUGAAAUGCGCAGAUAUCAGGAGGAACACCGGUGGCGAAGGCGGGUCUCUGGGCCGUAACUGACGCUGAGGAGCGAAAGCGUGGGGAGCAACAGG
rnacentral:rRNA from 1 species